AUGAACGCCAGCGGGAGGCCUAACACAUGCAAGCCGAGCGGUAUAAUUCUUUCGGGAAUUAGAGAGCGGCGCACGGGUGCGGAACACGUGUGCAACCUGCCUUUAUCUGGGGGAUAGCCUUCCGAAAGGGAGAUUAAUACCCCAUAGUAUAUUGACUGGCAUCAGUUAAUAUUGAAAACUCCGGUGGAUAGAGAUGGGCACGCGCAAGAUUAGAUAGUUGGUGAGGUAACGGCUCACCAAGUCAGUGAUCUUUAGGGGGCCUGAGAGGGUGAUCCCCCACACUGGUACUGAGACACGGACCAGACUCCUACGGGAGGCAGCAGUGAGGAAUAUUGGACAAUGGGUGAGAGCCUGAUCCAGCCAUCCCGCGUGAAGGACGACGGCCCUAUGGGUUGUAAACUUCUUUUGUACAGGGAUAAACCUAGAUACGUGUAUCUAGCUGAAGGUACUGUACGAAUAAGCACCGGCUAACUCCGUGCCAGCCGCCGCGGUAACAC
rnacentral:rRNA from 1 species